rfam:Hordeum vulgare subsp. vulgare, WGS project CAJW01000000 data, contig: morex_contig_135505
AUAAUACUCCCUCCGUACGGAAAUACUUGUCGAAAAAAUGGAUAUAUUUAGAUGUAUUCUAGUUCUAAAUACAUUCAUUUUUAUUUAUUUCCCUGACAAGUAUUCUUGGACAGAGGGAGUAACAA